UGAGGAACAUGACCUUCGGCGGGGGAUAGCCGGCCCAACGGCCGGGUAAUACCGCGUACGACCACUU
rnacentral:rRNA from 1 species